CCCUAUAUAGAAAUUGCACUGUGGUUUAGAUAUGUAAGCUAACUUUAAAUGAGGAAGCAUGAGUUCUGGAAGCAGGCUAACAAUAGCAAUGUGGAUCUUUUAUGUGAAGCUGUCUUAACUGCAUGCAAAGGGCAGAGAGCUCCAAGAGCAAAAGGAUGUCUGCAAUAGAUCAGACCAAGAGUCUAGCUGACCCUGGAGAAAUCAACAAAAACAACAGGCAAUAGCAAAUGCUUGAAGAAAAAGUGUAAAAGCAGAGCAAGCAUAUUGAUAUUUCUGUAGAUGAGAAUGUGCUGGACAGUCACCAGAUGUUCUGACACUCUGCACUGGACAUUGCUGCAUGCUGGAGGAAAAGAAUGGAAACAUCAUGAAAUACAGUUUUUAUGAUCUUUUGCUCUGGAGGUAGUCCCCAAAAUUUCCUGUCUGCUCUGUAACAGAAAAGGUAGCACCAUUUAGGGGCGUGGGGGAAGGUUUAUUUUCAAAUAAAUCUCUUCACUCAACUCCCAUUCAAACAAGCUGAUCAUCAAAGUAGAAGCACUGCCUUUGCACUUCAGCCUACCUGCUCAAAGCUGUUUCUUCCUGUGCUGCAAAGGCAAAUGGACUACUUAGAAACAUUAUUUUUACUUCAGCAGGUGAUUACCUGAUUAAAUGCUAUACCUGAUUAAGUGCUGUUAAAAGUAUUUAAGAUCAUUAGUGGUAACAAGACUAGCAGAAAAGCAGUAGCAUGUAGAAUAAAAAGAACCUCCUGCCCUCCCCCCAACUCUUCUGUGAAGAGGCAGGUUGAAAAUGAAGAUUGUGAAACAAGAAACUGGACCAAUAUCAAAAGCAGUAUGACUUGCAGAAUUUCAAACCAAUAGCAUAAGCCAACAAGCAAAAUAAUGACUGUAAAUGGAAGCUGAUUUUCCCUUUGUGUGAGGGGUCCAGAACAUAAAUGUUAUUGCUAUGACUGAAGUGCUCACUUGAUGUAUAGAACUGGACUCUCCACAUGGUGAUUUUUCUGGUUGUUUAUUCUUGCUUUGCCCUGGGCUUGCUGAAAUCAAUGGAAUUAUUUAGCAAAAAGAGGUUCUGAAUAGAAACCGGGGGACCUGGUCCUGGAGUUUGGAUGGGAAUACUACCUAGCAGUUUCAGUGCAUGUAAGGCUGAAUCCUUCUUAAAAUUAAGGUAGUUGGAGAGAAAACAAGUGCCUCAAGGUUCGAUUGAAUGUGGUUGGUUGUGGGCUGCAAGCUUGUGCUCGCCUACCGAGCACUGAAUUCUUGCUGCCGCGUGGAUGGCAGCUGCUGCGCUUCUCCAGUCAGCUCCUACCAGUCUCACUUCUGACUCCAGGCAUGAAGGCAGUUUCUUUUAUUUAUUCAUUCAUGCAUUUAGUUUUGUCUAUUGCUUGGUCUUUUCUGGGAGAUAGUUUUGUUAGUACCACUUCUAGUAAUGAUCCAAGUUGUGUAUAUGUGACCACCAAUGGGGGGAAGCUGACCUCUCAAAACUAUGUGUAAUUUGCCCUCACUGUCAAAGGUUUUGUUGUUAUCGUGUGACUGAAAUUAGGAGGCUAUCUAUAAUGCAAAAGCCUCUUAUAAGUCAUCUGAGUUACUCAGUUCUUCAAGAUCAAAGUUCUACUCAAAUAAAAAAGUUGUGUUCAGAUGAUUAUUUGAGACUUGAUAUUUUAAUGGGGGAUGAAGAAGUCUACGCCAAAACAAGGUGCUAUAUAAGGAAGUACUUCUAGCAGAAAAAGAACUUGCUGCUGAACAUUCAUACAAAUCAUGU